GGAGGGAUCAUUAAAACGUAUCCACGUAUAAACCUUUGUGAACUUGUUUAACACUAAACAAUACCGAAUUUGAAUGAUGGCGCGCCAGACUGUAGGAGCAAUCAGGAGUAGUUCUUUUACGGUUAGCUAUCAUUCGGGUCUCCUAUUUUUACAACUAUUAUUCACCCUAUUUAAACUUUAUUGUACUAACGAGUUCAACGCUAACGCGUUCUACUUGAAAAAUAAGAAAUUAACGCACAACUCUUAGCAACGGAUAUCUAGGCUCUCGUAUCGAUGAAGAACGCAGCGAAAUGCGAUACGUAAUGCGAAUUGCAGAAUUCAGUGAAUCAUCAAAUCUUUGAACGCAACUUGCGCUUUUGGGUAUCCCUGAAAGCAUACCUCUCUGAGUAUCGUUUCACCACCACAUCGACUGCGUACGUUCUUUCGAGAGCAUACGCUUUGUUCGGAAAAUGAGUCGUCUCAGCGCCUUACGGCACACUGAGUCACUUGAAAUGCAUCACCACUUCCGUAAUCAGAUACGACUGAGGCCGCAAGGUUCUCACUAUUUGAUGUUCGAUAAUUGACCUUUGGUCAUUACACUAUCACAUCGAGUAGUAGUAUGUAUGAUAUGGGGAGCGGUUAACACAAGGAACCCUGAAUGAAUGAGUAGAGGGCGGUGAGAAAGUGGCGUUCGCGCCUCGUUUUUACUUCUCUCUAUCUCUCAAUUCUUGAUCUUGAUCUCAGAUGAAGUAAGAGAACCCGCCGAAUUUAAGCAUAUUAUUAAGCGGAGGAAAAGAAACUAACAAGGAUUCCCCUAGUAACGGCGAGUGAAGCGGGAAGAGCUCAAAGUUAAAAUCGGGGCACCUAGCGGUGCUUCCGAGUUGUAAUCUAGAGAUGCAUCGUCAGCUUCGACCCGGGUAUAAAUCUUUUGAAACAAGGUGUCAUAGAGGGUGAGAAUCCCGUCUUUGACCCGGAGUUCGGGGCGUACGACAUGUAUUCAAAGAGUCGAAUAGCUUGGGAAUGCUGUUCUAAAUGGGUGGUAAAUUUCAUCUAAAGCUAAAUAUCGACGAGAGACCGAUAGCGAACAAGUACCGUGAGGGAAAGAUGAAAAGAACUUUGAAAAGAGAGUUAAAAAGUACCUGAAAUUGUUAAGAAGGAAGCACUGGAAACCAGUUAUACCUUUUAUACAUAGGCACUGCGUUGGUGAGAGGGCAAUUCGGUAUCUCAUAGAGCCGACCACACCUUAAAGCUAGCGCAGUGUUCUCGUAUGAGGGGGAAGUCAGGAUCAGGUAGUUUCGCCGAAGAAAGCUAGCGGAAGGUAGUCAAUUGGUAGCGAUAUCAGUUGAAACUUAUAGCCGCUGGUCAAACGGUGGAGCUGCCUGAGGAAUCACGACAAUGCGCUCCGCAAGGCUGCUGGUGGGAUCUCCUUUCUGGCCGUGACUUUGGAGGACAAAGUCCUGUAGAGGUCACGGUUGGUUACUGGGGUUUCACUUGACCGCGCAUUCGCGAUCUUGACGAAAUGGUUUUCAUUGACCCGUCUUGAAACACGGACCAAGGAGUCUAACAUAUAUGCGAGUAUUUGGGUCUAAAAACCCUGAUGCGCAAUGAAAGUGAAGCUAGUCUUGUACUAGUGAGGUAGGAACCGCAAGGGGCACUAUCGACCGAUCGUUCAUUCAUGAAAGAUUUGAGUAAGAGCAUAUCUGUUGGGACCCGAAAGAUGGUGAACUAUGCCUGAUCAGGGUGAAGCAAGGGGAAACUCUGGUGGAGGCUCGUAGCGAUACUGACGUGCAAAUCGUUCGUCUGAAUUGGGUAUAGGGGCGAAAGACUAAUCGAACCAUCUAGUAGCUGGUUCCCGC
rnacentral:misc_RNA from 1 species